AACGAACGCUGGCGGCAUGCCUAACACAUGCAAGUCGAACGAGACCUUCGGGUCUAGUGGCGCACGGGUGCGUAACGCGUGGGAACCUGCCCUUAGGUUCGGAAUAACUCCCCGAAAGGGGUGCUAAUACCGGAUAAUGUCUUCGGACCAAAGAUUUAUCGCCUUUGGAUGGGCCCGCGUUGGAUUAGCUAGUUGGUAGGGUAAAAGCCUACCAAGGCGACGAUCCAUAGCUGGUCUGAGAGGAUGAUCAGCCACACUGGGACUGAGACACGGCCCAGACUCCCACGGGGGGCAGCAGGGGGGAAUAUUGGAAAGGGGGCGAAAGCCUGAACCAGCAAUGCCGGGGGAGUGAUGAAGGCCUUAGGGUUGUAAAGCUCUUUUACCCGGGAUGAUAAUGACAGUACCGGGAGAAUAAGCCCCGGCUAACUCCGU
rnacentral:rRNA from 1 species